rnacentral:rRNA from 1 species
UACAGAGGGUGCGAGCGUUGCUCGGAAUCACUGGGCGUAAAGGGCGCGUAGGCGGCCAUUCAAGUCGGGGUGAAAGCCUGUGGCUCAACCACAGAAUUGCCUUCGAUACUGUUUGGCUUGAGUAUGGUAGAGGUUGGUGGAACUGCGAGUGUAGAGGUGAAAUUCGUAGAUAUUCGCAAGAACACCGGUGGCGAAGGCGGCCAACUGGACCAUUACUGACGCUGAGGCGCGAAAGCGUGGGAGCAAACAGGA